GGUUCAGGAUGAACGCUAGCGACAGGCUUAACACAUGCAAGUCGAGGGGCAUCACGGGAGUAGCAAUACAACUGGUGGCGACCGGCGCACGGGUGAGUAACGCGUAUGCAACCUACCUAUCAGAGGGGAAUAACCCGGCGAAAGUCGGACUAAUACCGCAUAAAACAGGGGCACCGCAUGGUGAUAUUUGUUAAAGAAAUUCGCUGAUAGAUGGGCAUGCGUUCCAUUAGGUAGUUGGUGAGGUAACGGCUCACCAAGCCGACGAUGGAUAGGGGAACUGAGAGGUUGGUCCCCCACACUGGUACUGAGACACGGACCAGACUCCUACGGGAGGCAGCAGUGAGGAAUAUUGGUCAAUGGGCGGGAGCCUGAACCAGCCAAGUCGCGUGAAGGAAGAAGGAUCUAUGGUUCGUAAACUUCUUUUGCAGGGGAAUAAAGUGCAGGACGUGUCCUGUUUUGUAUGUACCCUGAGAAUAAGGAUCGGCUAACUCCGUGCCAGCCGCCGC
rnacentral:rRNA from 1 species